rnacentral:lncRNA from 1 species
GCGCUCCUCAGGCCCUCAAGUCGACAUGAAGCUGUCCUUCCGAAUCUCCUUCACCAACGAGCGUCCUUCGUCCUCCCCCCAGUUCUCCCUCGCCGUGGCUCUGGUGGCGAUGGUGUGCCUCCUGGUGUCUCCCAGCCGGGCCACUCCUGAAGCAGACCCUGUGGCCGGCCCCUUCCCCCGUGGCCGACCCUGACCCCCUCUUCUUCUGGAAGUUCAGGCCCAGGUACUACCGGGGCUACGGGGGCUACAGGGGCUACGGCGGCUACGGAGGCUACUCUAGGGGCUACUACAAGAAGGGAUACUGGUAAAGAAGAUUUGUGGGAGAAGCUUCGUUGGAGUGAAGCUUUGUGGAAUGAUUCUCUAUGGCGAUGAACAUGAAUAAAAGUAAUUCGUAGUAGUUAAUAAA